AACGAACGCUGGCGGCAGGCCUAACACAUGCAAGUCGAACGCUCGUAGCAAUACGAGAGUGGCAGACGGGUGAGUAACACGUGGGAACCUUCCCUAUGGUUCGGAAUAGCUCAGGGAAACUUGAGGUAAUACCGGAUAAGCCCUUCGGGGAAAGAUUUAUCGCCAUUGGAUGGGCCCGCGUCGGAUUAGCUAGUUGGUGAGGUAACGGCUCACCAAGGCGACGAUCCGUAGCUGGUCUGAGAGGAUGAUCAGCCACACUGGGACUGAGACACGGCCCAGACUCCUACGGGAGGCAGCAGUGGGGAAUAUUGGACAAUGGGCGCAAGCCUGAUCCAGCCAUGCCGCGUGAGUGACGAAGGUCUUCGGAUUGUAAAGCUCUUUUGGC
rnacentral:rRNA from 1 species